CCCUUAGAUGUUCUGGACAGCACGCGCGCUACAAUGGUCUUCGCAAACGGAUGCAUUCUCGAAGGAGAAUGCCAAUCUUGGAAUCUAUGCCUUGGUCGGGACAGUUGCUUGCAAUUUUUCGACUCGAACCAGGAAUUCCUUGUAAUCGUGAUUCAUCACAUCACGAUGAAUACGUCCCUGCCCUUUGUACACACCGCCCGUCGCUCCUACCGAUCGAAGAGUUAGGUGAAUUGUUUUGAUCGAUAAGAUUUGACUAUGGUCAACUCUCGUUGUGAAAUUCUGUGAAUCUGACUGUUUAGAGGAAGGAAAAGUCGUAACA
rnacentral:rRNA from 1 species